rnacentral:rRNA from 1 species
UACGUAGGGGGCAAGCGUUGUCCGGAAUCAUUGGGCGUAAAGAGCGUGUAGGCGGCCCGGUAAGUCCGCCGUAAAAGUCAAAGGCUUAACCUUUGAAUGUCAGUGGAUACUGCCGGGCUAGAGUCCGGAAGAGGCGAGUGGAACUCCUGGUGUAGCGGUGGAAUGCGCAGAUAUCAGGAAGAACACCAACGGCGAAGGCAGCUCGCUAGGACGGUACUGACGCUGAGACGCGAAAGCGUGGGGAGCGAACAGG